UACGUAGGGACCAAGCGUUGUUCGGAUUUACUGGGCGUAAAGGGCGCGUAGGCGGCGUGGUAAGUCACUUGUGAAAUCUCUGAGCUUAACUCAGAACGGUCAAGUGAUACUGCUGUGCUAGAGUGCGGUAGGGGCAAUCGGAAUUCUCGGUGUAGCGGUGAAAUGCGUAGAUAUCGAGAGGAACACCUGAGGUGAAGACGGGUUGCUGGGCCGACACUGACGCUGAGUGCGCGAAAGCCAGGGGAGCAAACGGG
rnacentral:rRNA from 1 species